CAAGAUGCACGUUCUGGACCUUGGUGGUGGCUUCCCUGGCACAGAAGGGGCCAAAGUGAGAUUUGAAGAGAUUGCUUCCGUGAUCAACUCAGCCUUGGACCUGUACUUCCCAGAGGGCUGUGGCGUGGACAUCUUUGCUGAGCUGGGGCGCUACUACGUGACCUCGGCCUUCACUGUGGCAGUCAGCAUCAUUGCCAAGAAGGAGGUUCUGCUAGACCAGCCUGGCAGGGAGGGUAGGUGCCAGGUGGGCAGUGGAGCCCUGUACUCCCCUGAAGCUGCAGAUAGUGGUUGGCUGAGCAGGAUCUGGUUUUAGACCCAGU
rnacentral:sRNA from 1 species